rnacentral:rRNA from 1 species
AAUGAACGUUGGCGGCAUGGAUUAGGCAUGCAAGUCGAGCGAUAAGUGUAGCAAUACACGGAAAGCGGCGGAAGGGAGAGUAAUACGUGGGAAUCUGCCCUUAGACCUGGGAUAGCAGCGGGAAACUGCUGGUAAUACCAGAUAAUGUCUAUGGACCAAAGGUGUGAUUCCGUCUAGGGAUGAGCCCACGUCCUAUUAGCUAGUUGGUAGGGUAAUGGCCUACCAAGGCGAUGAUGGGUAGCGGGUGUGAGAGCAUGACCCGCCUCACUGGGACUGAGACACUGCCCAGACACCGACGGGUGGCUGCAGUCGAGAAUCUUCGGCAAUGGGCGCAAGCCUGACCGAGCGAUGCCGCGUGCGGGAUGAAGGCCUUCGGGUUGUAAACCGCUGUCGAGGGGGAGCAACUUCCAUAGAGUUAUCUUUAUGGAUUGAGUGAUCCCUGGAGGAAGGACGGGCUAAGUUCGUGCCAGCCGCCGCGGUAACAC